GGGGUUGGUCGGGUAGUCGCGCAAAGGGGUGUAAGAUAUAAAUACUUAUACACCUUUGUGAGGAAAGUCCGAGCUCCACAGGGCAGGAUGCUGGGUAACGCCCAGCGAGAUUAGGCGUAAGCCUAAUCUCAGCGAAAGUGCAACAGAAAAUAUACCGCCAGGACGUAUGAAAAACGUUCUGGUAAGGGUGAAAUGGCGAGGUAAGAGCUCACCAGCAGCCUGGUGACAGGCUGGCUUGGCAAACCGCAUCCGGAGCAAGGCCAAAUAGGGAAGAGAUAAGGUGGCCCGCCUUUCUUCCGGGUUGGCCGCUUGAGGUAGAUAGGAAUAUCUACCCUAGAUGGAUGACUACCGCUAUUUAUGGGUUACCUUUGAGAAAUUCCACUUUUGUGGGAUAUCUUUAUGGGGUGAUCCAUAAGUAGUACAGAACUCGGCUUACAGGCUAACUCCAGCC
rnacentral:RNase_P_RNA from 1 species